GGGGAUGUGGCUCAGUUGGUAGAGUGCUUGCCUAGCAUGCAUGAAGCCCUGGGUUCGAUCCCCAGCACUGCCCA